GUUUUUAUAGUUUAAAAUAAAACAUUAAUUUUGUAAAUUAAAAAUAAUAAAAUUAUUUAAAAACU
rnacentral:tRNA from 1 species